UAAAGACGCCGAGAAAGCCAUAGUUCGUUAAAAUCCUGGAUGAUGUAAAAUGGGAUAAGAAUGAACAAUUUGUUUAUUACCCUGAUUGGAAGACCGUAUGGAGACAACA
rnacentral:rRNA from 1 species